UAGAGAGUGAGAAAGAGAGGAGUGGGAGGAAAAGUAAGAGUAAAACAGAAAGCGUGAGAGGGCGAAAAGCGUGAUGGAGUGAGAGGAAAGCUGUGGAGUGUUUGUUGUGUUUGAGUGAAGGCCGGCAGUAGAGCGAGUGAUCGCUCUAUCGGUCGGACAUAGUAUAGUGUUGCUGCCGGCCCCGGCUGUUUGUGUUUUAUGUAUCUUUGUGUCUUUCCUCUCCGGUGACCACCACGACGUGGUGUGUUGGCCUCCUUUUAGGCAAUCGAUCAACAGCUAAAUUCUUACGCCUUCGAAAUUAGACCACCCUCUUCGAAAAAUGUUGGCAUCGAAAUCAUAGUCUUGGAUUUACAGUCUGGAAGAAGACAUAAGACGGGAUGGUCGAAGCUGGAAUACCUUUGAUAAUAGCUCUUUCUUGCUCUGUCAGUGCUGACCUGCAAUUAAGCCACAACACGCAACCAACGAAGGAUAUAACGGAUUAAAAACAACAACAACAAAAUGGUCCGGAAAACAAAAUACUGAAUUGAAUGGUCAUGGCUGGAACGCCAUUGAUUCUAGGUCUACCUUAUUUUGUUUAUUCAGACGGCUGACCUAGCAACAACAAAGAACACAUUGGAUAGAUAUAUAUACUUGGAUAACAAUAGUCUGCAACAAACCCAAAACUAUAUGGUCACGACUGGAACGGCUUUGAUGAUGGAUCAACCUAUUUUGCUCAGUCCGAGCGUUGACCUAGGGCUAAAUAACCAAGAAUUUGAUGGAAACCAAAAGAAUUGGUACAGCAGAAGCCCUCAUUACUGACCUAUUAGUUUCUUUUAUUGUUGUUUUACAUGUGCUUUGGGAAAUUCUAUCGGGACUUAAACCAAAAUACCAGACUACAGACUCAGACUACACCAAACACAAGAACAAACCUUGGGGAAAUCUAAAGAUGGUUAGAUGGGUGACUUACUGGGACAGUUUUCAAGUGAUUAAGGGUUGAAAAAUUUGACCCUUUUUUUUCUUUUUUUUUUCUGUAGGGACAAUGUAAUCUUUGAAAGAUGAAGAAGGGUAAAAAAAAUUUGAGCCAGUCUUUUUCUUUUCUUUUUUUUUUGCUUUUUUGUAGGGAAAACAGGAAAACAUGGAUCAGUGGUUCUCAGCUGAGGUCCAUAUGGUCCUUGAGUCCAUAUCACCCUUAAGGGUCCAUACAAGAUUUAGUUGUUAAAAUUUAUGUGCACUAAAUUGGUUAUAUUUUCUACAAUGCCCAAAAUAUUUUAACGAGUGGCUAUGUGGUAAGUAGCUUGCUUACCAACCACAUGGUCCGAGUUCAGUCCCACUACGUGUCACCUUGGGCAAGUGUCUUCUACUAUAGUCUCGGGCCAACCAAAGCUUUGUGAGUGGAUUUGGUAGA